AGAUCAAGCUACAAAGGGCGCACGGUGAAUGCCCUGGCACUAGGAGCCGAUGAAGGACGUGAUAAGCUGCGAUAAGCUACAUGUAGGCGCACACAGCCUGUGAUAUGUAGAUUUCCGAAUGGGGGAACCCAUCUAGUUAUGCUAGAUACUGUAUACCGAAUACAUAGGUAUAUGGAGGUACACCUGGGGAACUGAAACAUCUAAGUACCCAGAGGAAGAGAAAGAAAAUUCGAUUCCCUAAGUAGCGGCGAGCGAAAGGGGAAGAGCCCAAACCAGGAACUUGUUCCUGGGGUUGCGGAUAGAUCAUAACGCUUUGAUUUCUUUAGUUGAAGAGAACUGGAAGUUCCGUCGUAGAAGGUAAUAACCCUGUAGGCGAAAAGGAAAGAAAAGUAGAUCUACUCCAGAGUACCACGAGACACGUGAAACCUUGUGGGAAGCUGGGAGGACCAUCUCCCAAGGCUAAAUACUACCUAGUGACCGAUAGUGAAGCAGUACCGUGAGGGAAAGGUGAAAAGACCCCCGGAAGGGGAGAGAAAUAGAAUCUGAAACCGGGGGCCUACAAUCGGUCGGAGCACAUUAAAGGGUGACGGCGUACUUUUUGUAGAACGGGCCAGCGAGUUACGAUAUAUAGCAAGGGUAAGCACUUAUGGUGUGGAGCCGAAGGGAAACCGAGUCUGAAUAGGGCAACUAGUUGUAUAUUGUAGACCCGAAACCGAGUGACCUAUCC
rnacentral:rRNA from 1 species